UUCCCAGGACCGUCGAGGACUUGCUGACACUUUGAGAGUUCCUAAGGAGGGCUACAAUGCAAAACGGGGAGAGGUGCUCAUUAGGAUGCCCUAGGAAGCCCAGCAAUCUGACUGCGUUUCCCCAUCUAUCUACUUUCCCACUCUCCUAGAAGACAGCUCUAUACCCUCUCCUCUCUCAAAUCUCCACACUUCCUUCUUUAUACUCACACUCAGCUGAUUUCUUUCUGUGCCUCCUCAUUGACUGAGAAAAUAGAAGCAGCCAGAAGCUAAUGCCCUCCAUCUCCUACCACAUCUACCCACCUUCCUGCAUCUGUGCCCAUCAGCUCUGCCUCCCUCCUGUGACAUGGGAAACAGAUAGGGAUCUUAACCAAGGCCAAUCGUUCCAUCUGGGCUCUGGGUCCCACCCACUCUCACCAAUUACAACAGAAAUUCUCCCCUUUCCUUCCUAUAUCACCAUUCUUUUUCAUUCAUUACUGUCUUUUCCAUCAAUGAAUAAAAAUAUUGCUAUAAAAAAUCUUAAAAGUCUGCUUGUCACUCUUUGCUGGUUCCUCCUCAUCCUCGACUCUCAAUACUGGAGUGCUCUGGGGCCUCAUUCUCUAUCCUCAUUUCUUUUCUACCUCCUCACUCCCUUGGGAAUUUUAUCCAGGCACCUGGCUCUUAUUCCUCUCUAUACAUUGACAAUGCUGAAAUGUAUUUCUGCAGCCCAGACUUCUCUGUUGAACGCCAUACUCAUACAUACAACUGCCUAUCAACAGCUUGACAUGGAUAUUUAAAAGCCACAUCAAUAUUUUUUUUAAAAACUAUUUUGAGAUAAUUACAGGCUCAUAAGACAUUGCAAAAUACUACAGAGAGGUCCUAUGUACCCAUCACCCAAUGGUGACAUCUUACAAAAAGUCAUAUCAAUUUUACUAUGUCAAAAAACAAACUCAUGAUCCUACCCCUAAAAGCUGCUCCUUCCCAAUCUUAGUAAAUGGAAACUCCCCCUUUAUAGCUGUUCAGACCAACAAUCUUGUUACCAUCCUGGAUUAUUAGUUUUUUCUCACAUCCCACACCAAAUCCAUCAGCAAAUCCCUUUGGACCUAUCCAGAUAAAUCCAGAAUUUAACCAUUUCUCACCAUUUUCACUGAUACUACUCUAAUCCAAACCAUCCUUAUCUUUUACUUGGAAAACUGGACUUGCUUUCUAAGUGGUCUCAUUGCUUCUACCAUUAUGUCCUACAGUAUGUUCAAUACAGCCACAAGGUGAUCCUGUUAAAAUGCCAGAUCCAAUCAAAACUCUCCAAUGGCUUCUCAUUCAUACAAGCUGGCCCUGUGUCUCCUAUCACCUCUUUGACCAGAUCUCGUUUCCCAUUGCUCUCCUCUCUCAUUCCACUCCAGCCACACUGGCCUCCUUGCUGUUCCUCAAACAGUCCCAGCACGUUCCCUGUGAGGACUUUCACCUCCUAAUCCAUCUUACCUUGGACAACCAAGUAGCUUGUUGCUGACUUACUUCCUUAAGGUCUUUGCUCAGAUGUUACUUUCUCAGUGAGGUCUUCUUUGACCAUCUUACUUUAAAUUGCAACAGUCCUGCUGUCCUGCACUCCUGAGUCCUUCCCAGGUUUAUUUUUCACUUGUAUUCAUUACCAUUUCACGUGUCUGAACUUAAUCAUUUUUGUUUAUUGUCUAGUUUCCACCUUUCCCUAGUGUCUGGUCCCCAAGGUCAGAGUUGUUUGUCUAUUCUGCUUAGUGCUAUAUACCUAGAACUGAGAACAAUUUCUGAUAUGUAGCAGGCACUGAUCGUGAUUUUCCACUGGUAUAUAACAAAUUACCCAAAUUCAGAAGCUUCAAACAUUUAUUAUCUCAUAGUUUCUGUGAAUCAUAUAUCUGGGUGUGGCUUAGGUGGUGCCUUUGGAUUAAGCUCUCUCAUGAGGUAACAAUCAAACCACUGGCCAAGAUUGUGGUUUCAUCUGAUGACUUGGUUGGGUGGCAGGAGGAGAUCCUCUUCCAGACUUGCUCACAUGGUUGUUAGCAGCCUUGGUCUCUUGCCAUGUGGGGCUCUUCACAACAUGGCAGCUAUGGAAACCAAGAGUGAGUGACCCGAGAGAGAGAGAGAGAGAAAGCCCAAGAACGACGCCCUAGGCUUCUUGUAAUCUAAUUUUAUAGGAUAUGCUUAUCAAACUAAACUCUCACCUUGGAAAAAAGAAGAAAACAAUUCCUUAAAGGCAAAGACAUUCAAGUACAGGAAUGGAAGGAUAAUGUUGACAACUAUAAUAACACACACAGGCUAGCUGAAAGUCAGUGGUAAACAUUUGUGGGUCAGGCCCAGACUCCGGUUUGAGAAAAGCACAUUUGUCCAACACAUUCACGUGGCUACUGAGCAUCUGAAAUGUCACUCGUCUGAAACUGAUAUAUGCUAAAACUCCAAAUUCCACAUGUGGUUCCCAUUCUAGUUCCACUGGCAGCAGUGAUCUAGAAGCCACUUCUCCAGGUCCCAUGAACAGAAAUCAAGAUGGGAGGCAGCCGUUCUGAGAAGGCACAUACGCUCUGCAGACCUAACUGUGAGUUUGGCAGGGUUGUCUGAAGAUCUGGCACAGGUUGUAGCACGAGGAAAGCUGAUGUGGAGAAUCAAGCCACAUUCGCCACCCCAAUUCUACCAACAAUAAAGCUGGUAUUUUGAUUUCCA